rnacentral:rRNA from 1 species
AUGCAAGUCGAGCGCUGAUUACGGGGUAGCAAUAUUCCGUGGUCGGAGCGGCGCAAGGGUGCGUAACACGUGGGUAAUCUGCCGUGAAGUCUGGAAUAACCUGCUGAAAGGCGAGCUAAUGCCGGAUGUGAAAAUUGUAAGGCAUCUUUUGAUUUUCAAAGUUGGGGACCGUAAGGCCUGACGCCUCAUGAUGAGCCCGCGGCCUAUCAGCUAGUUGGUGAGGUAACGGCUCACCAAGGCUAAGACGGGUAGCUGGUCUGAGAGGACGACCAGCCACACCGGAACUGAGACACGGUCCAGACACCUACGGGUGGCAGCAGUCGAGAAUUUUUCACAAUGGGCGAAAGCCUGAUGGAGCGACGCCGCGUGGGGGAUGAAUGGCUUCGGCCCGUAAACCCCUGUCAUUCGGGAUCAAUGCGUCUGGGUGAACAUCCCAAACGUUGAUAGUACCGGAAGAGGAAGGGACGGCUAACUCUGUGCCAGCAGCCGCGGUAAUACAGAGGUCCCAAGCGUUGUUCGGAUUUACUGGGCGUAAAGGGUGCGUAGGUGGUCGGGUAAGUCUGAUGUGAAAUCUCGGAGCUUAACUCCGAAACGGCAUUGGAUACUAUUCGGCUUGAGGGUUGGAGGGGGGACUGGAAUUCUCGGUGUAGCAGUGAAAUGCGUAGAUAUCGAGAGGAACACCAGUGGCGAAGGCGAGUCCCUGGACAACUCCUGACACUAAGGCACGAAAGCCAGGGGAGCAAACGGGAUUAGAUACCCCGGUAGUCCUGGCCCUAAACGGUGCACGUUUGCUGUAAAAGGAAUCGACCCCUUUUGUGGCGUAGCUAACGCGUUAAACGUGCCGCCUGGGAAGUACGGUCGCAAGAUUAAAACUCAAAGAAAUUGACGGGGGCCUGCACAAGCGGUGGAGUAUGUGGCUCAAUUCGAUGCAACGCGAAGACCUUACCUGGCCUUGACAUGCAGUGGUAGAAAGGAUGAAAGUCUGACGACCCCGCAAGGGGAGCUUGCACAGUGCUGCAUGCUGUCGUCAGCUCGUGUCGUGAGAUGUGGUAGUCCCGCACGAGCGC